UCAUGAAACGUCAUAAUAGUUGAAGAUUUUGCAAUCCUCCAACCCAACUGUCAGCUGAGUUAUAGAAACAGCUUCUGUACGCUUUUUAUACAAAAUGGAGAGAAACCAAUCAAUUUGAUUCAUGUCGACGGCAAAUAAAUAUAAAUAUUGCAGUAAAAUCGAUUGCGUCUCGCCGCGGGACUGGUCUGGAUAGCAGUGCCUGCGUUCCGACGUUCCGUUAAACUUCAGACUCUCGAUGUCGACGCGCUAGUAAACCCUUAAACAUGAUAUACCAAAUAAUCAGUCUCUGCGAUGGACGUAGCAGCUGCUGCUUAUGUCAGACAUGCGUCAGACGCAUGCAUUAAUCGCACAAGCGAACCCAGGCCUUUAGGUCACACUCGAUAUGAGAGCUACUCCAAAGACGUAAAGUGGGAUUUUAAAUUUAGGAUGUGCUUUCCUCUGAGUGUUAGAAUUACGUAUGUGAUUAGUGUUAUUAUUACGUAUGUGAACUGAAAUCUAACUUUUGUUUGUCAUGAUCACAUAGGUGUUUCGACUAGCUAUAUAAAAAGGCAAAAAAUUAAGUAACAUCUAAUGACUAAAGUUUCAUUUACUGGCGAAACACCAGAAAAUAUUUAAAGGCACGAACAGACAGAGCCCCUUCAGUUACCGGUAUUUUGCGGUGGUAUCAAAGAAAUGUUCGGGCAGUUGUUGCAACAGAUCUUUGCAAGUCUGGACGCGAAUGCAAACACAUUCUUGGUAUGCUUAAGGCUUGUGUGAACUGAUGGUACGGAAUCGGGUUUCGUGGCGAUGAUACGCUGCGCUUUCUGUUCGUCCAACAUCGUAUUUUCCUUACGCAACAAACAAUGUUACGCGACGGUGUUCCGUUACUGUGUUCUGUUUGGUAUGUCUGUACUCGCCUUCAUCCUUUAUAUUGAAUUGUUGAACCUAAAACCGUGUUCAAGAAGUUUCGCAUCAACACGCGGGUAAGAUAUGGAUAAAGUCCAGACAAUAUCUCCCCGCCCCGACUGAGCUGGCAAAUUGCCCGAAAGGAGCAGAGCCAUCUACUGGACAAAAAAAUUAGCUUGUUUUAUGUUGGUGGAAAGCAUUUUUACUCUUAUAAUUACUGAAACCGCUGAAAAUAAUCCCCCAUAAUUACUGCAUAGCUGCGUAAGAACAAUUAAAUUAAGGAACAAAUAUUAAAAGUGUUAAAGUACUUUGUUGGGGGGAUCAAGUUGUAACUAACCUGAUUUGGUUCGUAGGACCAAAUGUUGGGGGUGGCACAUUCCUGAGAUUGGACAAAUCCAGUUCGUGGGACCAAAAUGUACUGGUCUCAUUCGGAUAAAUAAUUAGGAAUGCCAGACACGAAUAAAUGGGGAAAAUUUCUACUCUUCGAAGGACCAAUGUGUGUGGGGUGCCAAUGUUUGAUGGGCCUGUACCCGGAACAUCGUCUCAACCAACGUAAAAUUCCACAAUCUAAAUAACCACCCAGGAAUGCUACCAUUCAAACUCGGAACAGCAAAAAUGAUUUGAAACAAUUGGAACUUCAUCCAAAAAUACGACCUAAAACUAAUAAUCAAUUAAUUCAAAAUUCUGAAACAACAAUCAAACUCACUUUCCACAUGUU
rnacentral:lncRNA from 1 species